AAGAUUGUAUUAUAUUCCAUGUACGGGCAGAAAGUUUCAAUUUCUAACUAAAUGUAAUGUACUCGUAUAGCCUUCCCAUCAGUUGCUCAUACCAAGCGGCAAGCGCCCCAGUCUUAUAAGAUGUGCUUGAAUUUGAUAUAAUUAUUAUUGUUGCACAGCUCAGCACAUAAUAUGUGCAGUGCAGUGCAUUCCAACUUUCAUUAUCAUUUAAUAUGUUAUCUUUUAUUCGAGAUACCGUUAGUACAAACUCCGUGUUAAAAAAAAUUGAAUAAAUAUGAAAAAAUUAAAAGUAUCAAAACUAUUUGUCAGUUAUUUCUUAAUUGCAUUGCAUGCAUAUUUUACGUAAAUGAAUACUUCUUUAAAUAUACUUACUAAUAAAUGAGACUAAUUACUAGGAAAUCAAAUCAAAAUAGGCAAUUUCGUAUUAAAUACCACACAAAUAAAUGAAAUAAAUACCUCGUUCUCAAAGUAUUGCUUUUAUACAAUUUUGUAAGGAUUGUAGCGAAAACGAAAAAGUAGUGGUAAAACAUUUAAGUUGGUAACCCUGACGCCCCUUGUGACGCCACGAACAGCCGCACGCACACCAGUCCGCCAUCUUUCUUACCUUUUUGAUUGUUGACUUCAUGACUUGUAAAUUUUGUAAUUAGUUUUUGCCGACGUCCACCGUGCCGUUUUUUAAGUAAUUUUUGGUAUUUUACAAAUUGUGUUACUUUAGUGGACACGUGGAGACAUGGACGCUGACUGUUGGAAGAAUUCGUCAAUUCAGACUGGCGCAAAGAGCUAUCAGGGCGCGAUGCCAGGAAUUUCAUUGCGAGACAGAAUUCGAAAUGAGGAUAUUCGCCAACGCAAUAAAGUUACCGACAUUGCAAAAAGGAUUAACUCAAGUGGGAAUGGACCGGCUAUAUUUUUCGCAGAGAUGACGAUCAAUGGGGUCGCCUAGUAUUGCUGUGGAGACCUAGCCUGGGUGGCCGAGGUGGCGGGAAACCACGAGCAGAUGGUCGGAUGACACAUAUAGAACGGAGUGGAAACCCACGGAAUGCAGACCAGGAUCAUAUACUUUAGGUAUGAGUUUGUUACUUUUGCUCAUAAUAACAUGGAGUAUGUCACAGCUGCUCCACGGGCUGCAUUGAAGGGCAACAGGAGCGAAAAUGUUAAAAUGGAAAGGAGCUCCCCCUUUCAAUUAGGGAAUCUUAGGAUAUGCUAAGGCAAACAGAAGGAGGCAAGGAACGGGACUGCAUCAAUUGCUGUCUGGAACCAAUCUUGUGGGAUGACUUCUGGACAGGGAAAAACAAUUUCAUCAUCUACCCUAAUACUGACGAAUGUUCUAAAACGUGCUGUAAGGCAGACAUUUCCAAAUGUAACGGAGGAAAGUUUCGAGACAUGUAAUGGUUUCAACAUGCUGCUGAGACCCAACUCAAGAGACGUCAGUUUGUACUGUUUAGUCCAUUCUCUAUUGGGCAUGCUUGUAUAGAGAGGUAUAUAUAUAUAUAUUGGAGUACAGACAUGGUGUUUGGUAUGAGUAUUAUAUACAUCCUUUUGAGUCAAAUAGGACCGGUAGCCACUUUGAACUCCGUGUCCGAAAGGGUCAAAGUAUGGAGCUCCCGGUACUCAGAAAAAAAAUUCUGGCCUAUUUUGAACUUUCGAGUCAAGUUUGGUGUCA
rnacentral:lncRNA from 1 species